UUUUAAUAAAGAGUUGUCUCUUUCGAAGACGGCGACCCUAAGACUCCUUUCUUUCACUUCCGUCUCCAACAACGUUUUUUCCGUCACAGUCUCCUUCCAUUUGGUCAUCUCCACCCCAAUCACCGUCGUCUCUGUCAGUUCAAGAGGAACCCUAAAUCCGAUUUCACCUCUGUCAAAUCCACCUUUAAAUUGAAGAUAUUGAAUGUUUUGCCACUUUGAUUGAGCUUUACGCCAAUUGGAAGUUUGAAAUUUUAGAGGUAUCUGAUGGGGAUGGGCUGGAGGGAUCUGGUUAUACAGUAUUGUAACAUAUUUCCCACAAGACGUUUUUAAGUUUGCUAUUGGAUACAUCUUAAGUGGAAAGGGCUUGGCUCAACUUGUUUGAGAACAUGACCGCUUUCACAAUAAAAAAGAUUAUGGAAAAGAAGAGAGAGAGAGAGAGAGUCUCAAUAGACACUUGCUCAAAGGAUACUUCACGGUUGGUAGCCAAAAGAAGCUGUUAACAUCUUCCUUGAGAAAGGAAGUUACACAGAAUUGUCUGAGAUCGCAGAGCAAGCCAAGAGACCUGAGAUACUUAGGCUUAAGGAGCUGCACACACUCAAGGGCAUGUGGAAUCAGUAGUGGGUCUAGUUACAAAGUCAUGGUCUCCAGCUUCUUUAUUGGAACUUUCUAGAAUCUGAAUUGGAUUGGAAGCAAACUUGUAAUAGAGGUUGGACUGUUCGAGGAAGAUAGCUUCUGUAGCAAGAAGCAGCUCCAUGCAAAUUCUUGAGCAGACAGAGCUUCUUGAAAUUGGUGUACAUUACAAUGGUUUCUGUAAUGUUCGUGGGUCUAGUUAGUAAGUUGAGAAGCAGUGAUUUAGUUUUUUUCUUUCCAGUCACUUAUGUUUUGUGUUUGGUCCAUUAGUAAACUUUCAAGUAGUGAAAAAAGUUAAAAGCUUGGUAUGUACUCAGUUUUGACAAUGGAAUUUUAUUACAGUUCAAGUUCAGGUUAGUUUUGUGUG